rnacentral:rRNA from 1 species
GUCCCAGUUCGGAUUGCAGGCUGCAACCCGCCUGCAUGAAGUUGGAAUCGCUAGUAAUCGCGGAUCAGCAUGCCGCGGUGAAUACGUUCCCGGGCCUUGUACACACCGCCCGUCACACCAUGAGAGUCGGGGACACCCGAAGUCCGUAGUCUAACCGCAAGGGGGACGCGGCCGAAGGUGGAUUCGAUAAUUGGGGUGAAGUCGUAACAAGGUACC